rnacentral:sRNA from 1 species
ACCGGCCUGCAACGCAGGUCUGGCAAUUAACGCCGGUUGAACCAACAUUCAUUGAACAGGGGUUCAGCUCGUAGACAUGGUUCGGUGUGCAGUGUCCGCCAGUCCGGAAUGCCUAAAGAACCACGGCUGGAUCCCGCCGUCUAAGGACGGGUUCACCGGCGCAUUGCUGACGGCCAAGCGGGUCGGUU